CCUACGGGUGGCAGCAGUGGGGAAUAUUGCACAAUGGGGGAAACCCUGAUGCAGCAACGCCGCGUGAGGGAAGACGGUUUUCGGAUUGUAAACUUCUGUUCUUAGUGAAGAAUAAGUACGGUAGCUAACAAGAAGGCCCCGGCUAACUACGUGCCAGCCGCGGCGGUAAUACGUAGGUGGCAAGCGUUGUCCGGAAUUACUGGGUGUAAGGGGAGCGCAGGCGGGAAGCCAAGUCAGCUGUGAAAACUACGGGCUUAACUUGUAGACUGCAGUUGAAACUGGUUGUCUUGAGUGAAGUAGAGGUUGGCGGAAUUCCUAGUGUAGCGGUGAAAUGCGUAGAUAUUCGGAGGAACACCGGUGGCGAAGGCGGCCAACUGGGCUUUAACUGACGCUGAUGCUCGAAAGCGUGGGGAUCGAACAGGAUUAGAUACCCUGGUAGUC
rnacentral:rRNA from 1 species